rnacentral:rRNA from 1 species
AAGUCGAACGAAGCGCUUAAAUGGAUUUCUUCGGAUUGAAGUUUUUGUGACUGAGUGGCGGACGGGUGAGUAACGCGUGGGUAACCUACCCUGUACAGGGGGAUAACAGUUAGAAAUGACUGCUAAUACCGCAUAAGACCACGGUACCGCAUGGUACAGUGGUAAAAACUCCGGUGGUAUGAGAUGGACCCGCGUCUGAUUAGGUAGUUGGUGGGGUAACGGCCUACCAAGCCGACGAUCAGUAGCCGGCCUGAGAGGGUGAACGGCCACAUUGGGACUGAGACACGGCCCAAACUCC